GGCAGACGGGUGAGUAACGCGUGGGAACGUACCCUUUGGUUCGGGAUAACCCAGGGAAACUUGGGCUAAUACCGGAGGGAAGCCGGAAACGGGAAAGGUUUACUGCCGAAGGAUCGGCCCGCGUCGGAUUAGCUAGUUGGUGGGGUAAAGGCCUACCAAGGCGACGAUCCGUAGCUGGUCUGAGAGGAUGAUCAGCCACACUGGGACUGAGACACGGCCCAGACUCCUACGGGAGGCAGCAGUGGGGAAUAUUGGACAAUGGGCGCAAGCCUGAUCCAGCCAUGCCGCGUGGGUGAAGAAGGCCUUAGGGUUGUAAAGCCCUUUCAGCGGGGACGAUAAUGACGGUACCCGCAGAAGAAGCUCCGGCUAACUUCGUGCCAGCCGCCGCGG
rnacentral:rRNA from 1 species